AGGAUCAUUAUUGAAUAAGCUUGGUUGGGUUGUUUGCUGGCCUCAAGGGCAUGUGCACACCUAACGGGCCAAUCUUUGUAUCACCUGUGCACUUUUUGUAGACCUAAAGUAUGAGGACUGCCGUGCGUCAAGCCAGCUUUCCUUACAUUUAUGGUCUAUGCUUUUGACUUAUACACACCUACAGUAUGUCAAUGAAUGUUUAUUGUCGGGCGUAAUUGCCCUUUAAAAAUAUUGUACAACUUUCAACAACGGAUCUCUUGGCUCUCGCAUCGAUGAAGAACGCAGCGAAAUGCGAUAAGUAAUGUGAAUUGCAGAAUUCAGUGAAUCAUCGAAUCUUUGAACGCACCUUGUGCUCCUUGGGUAUUCUGAGGAGCAUGCCUGUUUGAGUGUCAUGAAAUUCUCAACCUUACUCAGCUUUUGCUAGUUGAGUUAGGCUUGGACAUGGGAGUUUGUGGGCUUCUCGAAGUCGGCUCUCCUUAAAUGCAUUAGUGGGAGACCUCUUUCUGUCUCAGAUAUUGGUGUGAUAAUUAUCUACGCCAUUCAACUAGGCAGCAUGUUAAUGGGACUCUUGCUUUCUAACUGUCUCUUUGAGACUACUUAUGACAAUUUGACCUCAAAUCAGGUAGGACUACCCGCUGAACUUAAGCAUAUCAAUAAGCGGAGGAAAAGAAACUAACAAGGAUUCCCCUAGUAACUGCGAGUGAAGCGGGAAAAGCUCAAAUUUAAAAUCUGGGGGUC
rnacentral:rRNA from 1 species